GAUGAACGCUAGCGGCAGGCUUAACACAUGCAAGUCGAGGGGCAGCGUGGAGCAGCAAUGCUCUGACGGCGACCGGCGGAAGGGUGCGUAACACGUGAGCGACUUGCCCGUCACAGGGGGAUAACCGGCGGAAACGGCGACUAAUACCCCAUACGAUGUGAUGCUGCAUGGCACUGCAUCGAAAGAUUCAUCGGUGGCGGAUAGGCUCGCGGGACAUUAGCUAGACGGCGGGGCAACGGCCCACCGUGGCGACGAUGUCUAGGGGUUCUGAGAGGAAGGCCCCCCACACUGGGACUGAGACACGGACCAGACUCCUACGGGAGGCAGCAGUGAGGAAUAUUGGUCAAUGGGCGAGAGCCUGACCAGCCAAGUCGCGUGGAGGAAGGACGGCCCUACGGGUUGUAAACCUCUUUGUCGGAGAGUAAAGUACG
rnacentral:rRNA from 1 species